GAUCAGCUGCCUCCUGCAUGCCCUUUACUGGGAUCUGAGCCCACAACCCAGGCAUAUGCCCCUGAUCAGAAUCAAACCCGGGACCCUUCCGUCCUCAGGCUGACACUAUCCACAGCCAAACUGGCAGGGGCUGCUAUAUGGCUUUUACAGAAGUCUGCUGACCUCUGAUCUAGGGUUUUAGGGCUCCAGCCAGGAUCAGCUAUCACAAGGUAGCUGAGACAAGCCAACCACUGGCCAAACCUGUUUCUGCUUGACCAUGGGCUUUGCUGUCCAGGACCUGGUGGCUCGGGACACAGAAGGCAGGGUGGAGACCCCGUUUCUUCUAGAAGCCCUUUCCGCCCGUGGCCUCAGGGACCUGCGUCUGUCCUGGCACUGGCAGCCUCCAUGGACCACCCAGCAGAUGGGUGCUGGCAGGGAAGGCCUGGUUGAUACAGGGAUUACAAGGUCAGUGUUAUUUGUUAAGCCCUUGGCUCAAACCCUGAGGGAACCAGAAAUACUUGUGGUUAAAGUUCACGUUCACAAUAUUGAAUAAGUGAACAUGUAGAUCCAUUGCCCUGUUCAUACAAGCUCUGGAGCAAUAUCUGGGAUGAGGAAGAGCUGUUUCUCCGAGCCAGAGCUGUAGCCCCGUUGCCACCAUUCACUUGAACUUGCCCAGUUACCACAAGAGGACAGAGUCCCAGCUGCUUUUCCUGAACUCCCACAUUGUAGAGAGAGUCUGGGAACCCCAAGAAAUGAGAACCUUUUAGAAAAUAUGGGUAACCCCCCACAUUCAGGUGAUGAUGCAGGCGACAGGUGUAGCAGAGAGCCCGUGGUUAUCAUUGUGCCUGCACCCCGCCCCCAUCAGGGCAGUCCCCCUCGGAGCAGAAGCCUCCUUCCCCAGGCUGGUCAUGGCCCUUCUUCUCCCCGGUUGGCACUAAACCUGGACACAGCACAGUGGGGUCCUUUCAGAUGCUCCACACGACUUCUGGGGUGAGCUGAUGGGCACACAUGUGGGCCGUGGGUUGGCAGCUGUCCCCACAGCCGUGGACUUGAUGGUGAGGAGUGGACAGACCGUCUGGUCCCUGCGGUGGAAGCCGCCGAACUUUGCUGGAUAGGCACACACACACACCCCAGGAUUUAUCUCCCCCAUUAAGCCAGAUGUUUUACCAAGACAGCUGGAUUCUUGCCCCUUCCAGCUCUCCGGGGUGAGUAGCAGGACAUCAGUGAAGUGACAUCCUGGGGUGGGUAGUCAGGGUCUUGAAGAUGAAGUUGUACAAACCUGUAGUUGUUCACCACUUGGGCUGGGUGGUGAUAUACUGCCAGGUGAAGGAGAACUGCUUGUGGUGGUCCAAGUAGACAGGAAAAGAGAAGAAUAUUUGCCUCAUGAAUGGGUGCUGGGUGCCUCCUUAAUCUCCUCCGCCAUGGAGACCACUCCGGGCCUAAGCCAGCCUGAAGUCAUUCCCAUGGUUUUCCAGUAUACUCCACAUUUUCUGCAUGGAAUAGUACAGGUACACAACAGUCCUUGAAAUCUCUGUAAAGGUCCCCCCCUGAGAGAGCACACUCUCAGUUUUCUAUUGAAGAUUGUGUUACCCGACUAGAGCUGCAGUGUUGGCUGAGCUGCAGCACAGGAGCAGAGCUGUCUCAGCAGCUGGACCUGUGACACCAGAGCCGGAACACUGGCUUCUCCGGAGCCACCUCAGCCUCAGCCGCGCUGGAGCUACUUCAGGACUGAACUGUUUGCAUGGAAUAAAGUAUCUCUCCCCUCACCACAUGGAAACUGGGAUUCCUGUUAGCAUUGAGUUGGUGGCAGUGAGUGACCUUCAGUUGACACAGUAAACGCAAUAAUGCUUUUAGGUGCUUUGGUGAAAGUCUUUGUGGAGUAAGACAGGUUUAUAAAGAAGGGUGGGACUGAAAAUUGGAUGGGACAGCAGGGAGCCCAAAUGCUGUCAAUGGAGGAGGGGCCUGAGGUAAACCUAGAGAAGUACUUAGGAAGUAAAGAUGGUGCAGGCACUCACAGGGGAGCCACGUGAGUCAGGCACAGUGCUAGGGAACGUUAGAGGGACUCGGUACUUCAGAGUUAUGUGAGCAUAAGAUAGAAGAGCUGGCUUCAGUGCGCUAUGAUGCUGGAGAGGAGAGCAUGAGCCAGAGCAGAGAGCCUUGUCGAUUAGGUUCAAGUUA